GACGUAGGGGCCGAGCGUUGUCCGGAGUUACUGGGCGUAAAGGGCGCGUAGGCGGUGUGUCAAGUCAGGCGUGAAAGCCCCGGGCUCAACCUGGGAACCGCGCUUGAGACUGGCACGCUAGAGUUCGGGAGAGGAUGGUGGAAUUCCCAGUGUAGAGGUGAAAUUCGUAGAUAUUGGGAAGAACACCAAUUGCGAAGGCAGCUCACUACGCGAAUAUUGACACUGAGGCACGAAAGCGUGGGGAUCAAACAGG
rnacentral:rRNA from 1 species